ACAGCAGGAAUGUCUAGAGGUCUCGAUUAACAAUGUCUAUGUUUGUAUAGAUACAAUCACGGGGAAGCCUCUGUAGCAAAAGCCACUCUGCUUCAUCUCGUAUUCAAUUCUGGUGAAGUAAUUUUUUCUUUCCUUUUCCCUGGCAUUAAUACAUUUCUCUGAUAUUGAAACGUAACCGCCUUCGAUUGAUUUGACCGUAUAUCAUCGCUUCCCCCCAGAUUCUCGUCUCCAAAUCUUCCUAGCCAUUUAAAACCACCAUAGGGGUCCUUCAAGCACUGAUCGGAUGGCUGGUAUGGGGGUGGCAAUUCCUCCCAACACAUUUGACAUCACAUUUUUAGCAUUGCUGACUCUGCCGAAGAGAAAUGCAGCAACUUGAUUU
rnacentral:sRNA from 2 species